rnacentral:rRNA from 1 species
AUUCUAGAGCUAAUACAUGCGAAAAAACCCGACUUCUCGGAAGGGUUGUAUUUAUUAGAUAAAGAACCAGUAUUUUUGGUGACUCAUAAUAACUUUACGGAUCACAUUAUGUGACAUAUCAUUCAAGUUUCUGACCUAUCAGCUUUAGACGGUAGGGUAUUGGCCUACCGUGGCUAUGACGGGUAACGGGGAAUUAGGGUUCGAUUCCGGAGAGGGAGCCUGAGAAACGGCUACCACAUCUAAGGAAGGCAGCAGGCGCGCAAAUUACCCAAUCCUAAUACAGGGAGGUAGUGACAAGAAAUAACAAUACAGAACCUUACGGUUUUGUAAUUGGAAUGAGUUAAGUAUAAACCCCUUAACAAGUAUCAAUUGGAGGGCAAGUCUGGUGCCAGCAGCCGCGGUAAUUCCAGCUCCAAUAGCGUAUAUUAAAGUUGUUGCAGUUAAAAAGCUCGUAGUUAAUCUUCUGUUAAUUUUUAUAUAUAAUAUCACGAUAUUUAUAUAAUAUUAACAUAAUUCAUAUUACUUUUUAGUAUAUGAAACUUUACUUUGAGAAAAUUAGAGUG